rnacentral:rRNA from 1 species
GAUGAACGCUGGCGGCGUGCUUAACACAUGCAAGUCGAACGAAGAUGCCGGAGUGCUUGCACUUUGGCAGACUGAGUGGCGGACGGGUGAGUAACGCGUGGGUAACCUGCCUUAUACAGGGGGAUAACAGUUGGAAACGACUGCUAAUACCGCAUAAGCGCACGGUAUCGCAUGAUACAGUGUGAAAAACUCCGGUGGUAUAAGAUGGACCCGCGUCUGAUUAGCUUGUUGGUGAGGUAACGGCUCACCAAGGCGACGAUCAGUAGCCGGCCUGAGAGGGUGAACGGCCACAUUGGGACUGAGACACGGCCCAAACUCCUACGGGAGGCAGCAGUGGGGAAUAUUGCACAAUGGGGGAAACCCUGAUGCAGCGACGCCGCGUGAGUGAUGAAGUAUUUCGGUAUGUAAAACUCUAUCAGCAGGGAAGAUA